AUGCCGACCUCCUCGCAUGUCGGCGGCGACGGCCUCCCCCCCGGAUCCGCAUCCUCCAUCAUAUCCGGGGUCGUGAGCGGCUACCACUUGCUGAAGAUCGUCGGCUACUCGGGCACCAAGGAGGUCCCCAAUGGUAAGCGGGUCGACUCUUGCCCGUUCCAGGUGGGAGGCCGCACAUGGCAUGUGAGUUACUAUCCCAACGGGUCUGGGUCCGAGUACAUUGAUUACAUAGGCCUUUGUCUGUGCUUGAAUGAUACCGUCGGCAAGGCCGAGACCGUGAAGGCAAAAUUCAAGUUCAGCUUACUCGAUCAACAUGGGAAGGCAGUGCCGUCUUAUACCUGGACCUGCGAGACCAGAGACUUUUCCGUGAAGAAAUCCAGAGCUAUUCUUAGUUCUGGGACUGUCUGCCUGUCACUUUACUCACUGAUUGCUGGAAUUUUUGUCGCCGGCGAGGCAGAGAUCGUGAAGGCAAAAUUCAUGUUCAGCUUACUUGACCAACAUGGGAAGCCGGUGCCAUCAUAUACCGGUACUUCCGACACCAGGGAAUUUUCUAUGCAUAAAGGUCACGGGUUUGGCGGAUUUAUGAAAAGGGUUCAAUUGGAGGAAUCCGAGCAUCUCCAAGACGAUUCCUUCACGGUCAAGGUCGAUGUCACUAUCAUGAGCGAGUUCCAUACGCAGGAGACGCCAUCUAUCCUGGUGCCACCUUCUGAUUUGCACCGGCACUUAGGGGUUCUUCUGUCGAGCAAGGCAGGCGUCGAUGUCAAAUUCCAAGUCGGCGGGGAGACAUUCUCGGCGCACCGAUUGGUGCUUGCGGCACGGUCUCCUAUCUUUAGAGCAGAGUUCUUUGGCCAGAUGAGGGAGGGAACCACCACUGAGGCCAUACGCAUAGAUGACAUGGAGGCACCAGUGUUCAAUGCUCUGCUUACUUUCAUGUACACGGAUGCAUUGCCGGAUAUGAAGCAAGAAGAAGAAUAUGCCAUGGCUCAGCAUCUGCUUGUUGCGGCAGACAAGUACAACCUGGAGAGGCUGAAGCUUAUUUGUGAAGAUAAGCUGUGCAAUCGUAUCGAUACGAGCUCCGUGGCGACUAUCUUGGCAUUGGCCGAGCAGCGUCAAUGCCAUGAACUUAAGGCAGCAUGCUUGGUGUUCCUCAGCUCGCCGACGAAUCUGGGCGCGGCCAUGGAGUCUGAAGGUUCGAGUUUUUAA
rnacentral:rRNA from 1 species